rnacentral:rRNA from 1 species
GACGAACGCUGGCGGCGUGCUUAACACAUGCAAGUCGAACGGAAAGGCCCUGCUUUUGUGGGGUGCUCGAGUGGCGAACGGGUGAGUAACACGUGAGUAACCUGCCCUUGACUUUGGGAUAACUUCAGGAAACUGGGGCUAAUACCGGAUAGGAGCUCCUGCUGCAUGGUGGGGGUGGGAAAGUUUCGGCGGUUGGGGAUGGACUCGCGGCUUAUCAGCUUGUUGGUGGGGUAGUGGCUUACCAAGGCUGUGACGGGUAGCCGGCCUGGGUGGGUGACCGGCCACAUUGGGACUGAGAUACGGCCCAGACUCCUACGGGAGGCAGCAGUGGGGAAUAUUGCACAAUGGGCGGAAGCCUGAUGCAGCGACGCCGCGUGCGGGAUGACGGCCUUCGGGUUGUAAACCGCUGUCGCCUGUGACGAAGCGUGAGUGACGGUAAUGGGUAAAGAAGCACCGGCUAACUACGUG